GCGGGUGUAGCUCAGCUGGUAGAGCAUUAGUUUUCCAAACUAAAUGUCGCGAGUUCGAACCUCGUCGCCCGCU
rfam:Candidatus Methylopumilus planktonicus strain MMS-10A-171 genome assembly, chromosome: 1